UCCAACGAAAUAAGUUACCGUGUAUGCC
rnacentral:piRNA from 1 species